UGGGACAAGGAUUCCUGGCCUCGAAG
rnacentral:piRNA from 1 species